GGGAGCGUGCGGCUAAAGGGUAUGCCGUCACCGGAAACGGAUGAGACGCAGGUUCGAAUCCUGUCGCUCCCA
rnacentral:tRNA from 1 species